rnacentral:rRNA from 1 species
CCCUUAGAUGUUCUGGGCCGCACGCGCGCUACACUGACUGGUGCAACAAGUGUCGCUCCUUGGCCGAUAGGCCUGGGCAAUCUUUGAACGCCAGUCGUGAUGGGGAUAGAUUCUUGCAAUUUUUGAUCUUCAACGAGGAAUUCCUAGUAAACGCGAGUCAUCAACUCGCAUUGAUUACGUCCCUGCCCUUUGUACACACCGCCCGUCGCACCUACCGAUUGAAUGGUCCGGUGAAGCGCUCGGACCGCGGCCUCUUGACGGUUUUCCGUCGAUUGGCUGUGGGAAGUUCGUUAAACCUUAUCAUUUAGAGGAAGGAGAAGUCGUAACA